AAUAAAAUGUUGAUUUCUAUGUAAUGGCUGCUACUGUGAAUAUACAGUUAUGUAUCAUGCUUUGUACUUAUGGUGAAAUUUUUCCACAUAUCAUUGAAACUUGCUGAAAUUUUAUUUUUAAAAAAUAGUUGGACAUCAGCUUGCAGAGAAUGGCUUCCACACGUCAGAAAGACCAGCUUCCCUGUGCAAACAGGGCUUGAAGGAAGUGUGCACCCACCUGCUAAGUGCAGAAGGCCUUCCCUGGCAUCACAUUCUGACAAAUGGUUGGGUGGUUUUGAAGAGAGGAGUCUUGUGGGUUCUAACCCAGUGCUGAUUUCUAAUCUUAUUUCUGCCGUAAACUGAAUGCCAUUGUUUCCCCUCUCUGAACCCCAGCCCUUCAUCUUCCAUUUGAAUAUUGCCAGGUACUUUCAACUCUAGAAUAUUAUGUCUCUAGACUUAGUAUCUUAGUGACCCUGGAAUAUACAUUCAUUUUUAUUAGUAGUAAUACUAUGUUUUCAUUCUUUCAAUGCCUUUUCAUUAUGUUGUUGCUAUAUUCCAGACACCGACAUGUUUUCCCAAGUAAUGUUUACAAUCACCGUGAGAAACAGGUGCUGCUAGUAUCUUCAUGUUGUAGGCAAGGUGAGUGAAGCUCAGAGGGGUGAAGGACUGAGGGUGGGUGUGCGGCCUGCACUUCCACUCUGCCUAUGAGAAGGACCCUGAAAACAGACUGCUUCCUACCUACUGAGCGGUCAUUACCCAGAGCUGGACCCUCCUGCUGGCAGUCUACCAGCCUGGUGUGCUGGCCACCCAGUUACUCACUCGUUGGCUCACUGGUCAUGGUAGACAGAAUAAGGUGUCCAUGUCUUAAUCCUCAGAACUCAUGAAUACAUUAUGUGGCAAAGGGAAAUUACAGUUGCAGGUGGAAUUAAGGUUGCAAUCAGCAACCCUUAAAAUAGGCAUGUGGAUGAAAUGAAGGUUCCUGUGGCCGGGAUUCUCACCUGGCCGGGGUCGGCUAGCUCACCACACACAGGUGGGCAAUGAAUUUUUAUUGACUCUAUAUAAAGAGCCCUGCCCAGUGCUCUGGGUGGCACAGUGGCAGGGCUGCUGCAGGGCUGCAGGAGAGCAGAGCAGAGGCUGGAGUGGUGGCAGCACUGAGGACAGAGCCAGAGGAUGGCUGUGCAGGCAGAGAGGCCCAGAGAAUGGCUGUGAAGACAGAGAGGCCCAGAGGCAGAGACCGGCUUGCUGCAUGCAGACUUGCUCUGAGUGGAUGGGAUUUUAGUGAUUGACCUGCCACCGUGGGAACACAGUUGGAUGAAGGGGGCGAGAGCCAGGAAGUGCAGGUGGCCUCCAGAAGCUGAAAAGGCGAGGCAACAGAGUCCCAAGGAAGAAGGACAGCACCCCCCGCAUCCCCCCAACAUCUUGAUCGUAGCCAGGCAUGACAGCAGACGCCUGCAAUCAGUCUUGGCUGCUCUGCUUCCCUUCCGGCUGACCUGGGAGGUUUUCUGGAAUUCAGAGAAGUGCCCCGUGCCUGGCGUCCAUGAGCUCUGGGUUCGAAUCCCAGCUCUGUGAUUUUUGAAAGGUUGCUUUGUCCAGAGGGAAUCUCAGUUGU